rnacentral:rRNA from 1 species
GACGAACGCUGGCGGCGUGCUUAACACAUGCAAGUCGAGCGGAGCGGCGGACGGGUGAGUAACGCGUGAGUAACUGCCCCCCUCUCUGUGAUAACGGUUGGAAACGGCUGCUAAUACCGGAUAGUGGGGGAUGACUCGCGUCAUAUCAGAUUGUUGGUGGGGUAGUGGCCUACCCAGGCGACGACGGGUAGCCGGCCUGGGCGGGCGACCGGCCACAUUGGGCUGAGAUACGGCCCAAACGCCUACGGGAGGCAGCAGUGGGGAAUAUUUUACAAUGGGGGAAACCCUGAUGCAGAAACGCCGCGUGCGGGAUGACGGCCUUCGGGUUGUAAACCGCUUUCAGCCAUGACGCGGUAGUGGCAGAAGAAGCACCGGCUAACUACGUGCCAGCCGCCGCGGUAAUUC